rnacentral:rRNA from 1 species
CCUACGGAGGGCUGCAGUGGGGAAUAUUGGACAAUGGGGGGAACCCUGAUCCAGCCAUGCCGCGUGUGUGAAGAAGGCCCUCGGGUGGUAAAGCACUUUCAGUGAGGAAGAACGCCUGGUGGUUAAUACCCAUCAGGAAAGACAUCACUCACAGAAGAAGCACCGGCUAACUCCGUGCCAGCAGCCGCGGUAAUACGGAGGGUGCGAGCGUUAAUCGGAAUUACUGGGCGUAAAGCGCGCGUAGGUGGCUUGAUAAGCCGGUUGUGAAAGCCCCGGGCUCAACCUGGGAACGGCAUCCGGAACUGUCAAGCUAGAGUGCAGGAGAGGAAGGUAGAAUUCCCGGUGUAGCGGUGAAAUGCGUAGAGAUCGGGAGGAAUACCAGUGGCGAAGGCGGCCUUCUGGACUGACACUGACACUGAGGUGCGAAAGCGUGGGUAGCAAACAGGAUUAGAUACCCUGGUAGUC